CCCCUGCCUGCUAAAUAGUUGGGCGAAUGAAUNUUCAUUGGCCGCAGCUUCUUAGAGGGACGUGCGUUCUAUUAGACGCAGGAAGAUAGGGGCAAUAACAGGUCUGUGAUGCCCUUNGAUGUCCUGGGCCGCACGCGCGUUACACUGAUGCACUCAACGAGUCUGCCUUGGCCGAGAGGCCUGGGAAAUCUUGUUAACAUGCAUCGUGAUAGGGAUAGAUUAUUGCAAUUAUUAAUCUUGAACGAGGAAUUCCUAGUAAACGCAGAUCAUCAAUCUGCAUUGAUUACGUCCCUGCCCUUUGUACACACCGCCCGUCGCACCUACCGAUUGAAUGGUCCGGUGAAGCCUCGGGAUUGCGAUGAGUUUCCUUCAUUGGGAGUUCGUCGCGAGAACCUGUCUAAACCUUAUCAUUUAGAGGAAGGUGAAGUCGUAACAAGGUUUCC
rnacentral:rRNA from 1 species